rnacentral:rRNA from 1 species
ACUCCUACGGGAGGCAGCAGUGGGGAAUAUUGGACAAUGGGACCGGAGCUCAGCCAGCCGCGCUGUGUGAAGAAGGCCUUAUGGUUGUAAAGCACUUUAAGCGAGGAGGAGGCUACUUUAGUUAAUACCUAGAGAUAGUGGACGUUACUCGCAGAAUAAGCACCGGCUAACUCUGUGCCAGCAGCCGCGGUAAUACAGAGGGUGCGAGCGUUAAUCGGAUUUACUGGGCGUAAAGCGUGCGUAGGCGGCUUAUUAAGUCGGAUGUGAAAUCCCCGCAGC